UACGUAGGGUCCAAGCGUUAUCCGGAAUCACUGGGCGUAAAGCGUGCGUAGGUGGAUGUUUAAGUGAGUUGUUAAAUCGUGGGGCUCAACCCUGUCGAUGCAAUUCAUACUGGGCGUCUAGAGGACGGCAGAGGCAAGUGGAAUUACGAGUGUAGCAGUGAAAUGCGUAGAUAUUCGUAGGAACACCAAUGGCGAAGGCAGCUUGCUGGGCCACUCCUGACACUGAGGUACGAAAGCGUGGGGAGCGAACAGG
rnacentral:rRNA from 1 species